rfam:Schistosoma mattheei strain Denwood, Zambia genome assembly, scaffold: SMTD_scaffold0000453
AUCCGACUGACGAGCCCCAAAUAGGACGAAACGCGCAUCAUACUGGAU